rnacentral:rRNA from 1 species
CCGCGGUAAUACGGAGGGUGCAAGCGUUAAUCGGAAUUACUGGGCGUAAAGCGCACGCAGGCGGUCUGUCAAGUCGGAUGUGAAAUCCCCGGGCUCAACCUGGGAACUGCAUUCGAAACUGGCAGGCUUGAGUCUUGUAGAGGGGGGUAGAAUUCCAGGUGUAGCGGUGAAAUGCGUAGAGAUCUGGAGGAAUACCGGUGGCGAAGGCGGCCCCCUGGACAAAGACUGACGCUCAGGUGCGAAAGCGUGGGGAGCAAACAGGAUUAGAUACCCUGGUAGUCCACGCCGUAAACGAUGUCUACUUGGAGGUUGUGCCCUUGAGGCGUGGCUUCCGGAGCUAACGCGUUAAGUAGACCGCCUGGGGAGUACGGCCGCAAGGUUAAAACUCAAAUGAAUUGACGGGGGCCCGCACAAGCGGUGGAGCAUGUGGUUUAAUUCGAUGCAACGCGAAGAACCUUACCUGGUCUUGACAUCCACAGAAGAAUCCAGAGAUGGAUUUGUGCCUUCGGGAACUGUGAGACAGGUGCUGCAUGGCUGUCGUCAGCUCGUGUUGUGAAAUGUUGGGUUAAGUCCCGCAACGAGCGCAACCCUUAUCCUUUGUUGCCAGCGGUCCGGCCGGGAACUCAAAGGAGACUGCCAGUGAUAAACUGGAGGAAGGUGGGGAUGACGUCAAGUCAUCAUGGCCCUUACGACCAGGGCUACACACGUGCUACAAUGGCGCAUACAAAGAGAAGCGACCUCGCGAGAGCAAGCGGACCUCAUAAAGUGCGUCGUAGUCCGGAUUGGAGUCUGCAACUCGACUCCAUGAAGUCGGAAUCGCUAGUAAUCGUGGAUCAGAAUGCCACGGUGAAUACGUUCCCGGGCCUUGUACACACCGCCCGUCACACCAUGGGAGUGGGUUGCAAAAGAAGUAGGUAGCUUAACCUUCGGGAGGGCGCUUACCACUUUGUGAUUCAUGACUGGGGUGAAGUCGUAACAAGGUAACCGUAGGGGAACCUGCGGUUGGAUCACCUCCUUA